GUGAACGCUGGCGGUAGGCCUAACACAUGCAAGUCGAACGGCAGCACAGUAAGAGCUUGCUCUUACGGGUGGCGAGUGGCGGACGGGUGCGGAAUACAUCGGAAUCUACUUUUUCGUGGGGGAUAACGUAGGGAAACUUACGCUAAUACCGCAUACGACCUACGGGUGAAAGCAGGGGAUCUUCGGACCUUGCGCGAUUGAAUGAGCCGAUGUCGGAUUAGCUAGUUGUCGGGGUAAAGGCCCACCAAGGCGACGAUCCGUAGCUGGUCUGAGAGGAUGAUCAGCCACACUGGAACUGAGACACGGUCCAGACUCCUACGGGAGGCAGCAGUGGGGAAUAUUGGACAAUGGGCGCAAGCCUGAUCCAGCCAUACCGCGUGGGUGAAGAAGGCCUUCGGGUUGUAAAGCCCUUUUGUUGGGAAAGAAAAGCAGCAGGUUAAUACCCCGCUGUUCUGACGGUACCCAAAGAAUAAGCACCGGCUAACUUCGUG
rnacentral:rRNA from 1 species